rnacentral:lncRNA from 1 species
GUGACAGCUUUGAGUCCAUAUUCACCCAUUUAUUUAAAGGGGUUUUUUCCCUAAAGUGUAUUUGCAAAUACACUAUGAGGCUAGAGGUUGCCAGAGGCCAUUAGAGAGGAGGCAUGGAAAGCCCCCUGGAGAGCAAGAAGAAGGCUGGAACCUGGGCCAAGGCAGCCCAGGACUGAGAGCCAAGUAAGCAUGGGAAUUGUCCCAGCUAUAGUUUCUGGGAAAAUAAAUAGGCCUACCUGUUGACUUUUGACCUGCAGACUCCGUUCUUGCAAAAGGCAAACCAGACCAUACACUUUGGGGAUUCCCGCAAGAAGAUUCCUAAAACUGAAACUGGGGACUCUAGGAGGACACACAUCAUUAAGGAACUGGGCUUUCCUCUGAAGAGACUACCAAUUUGCAUUCCACCUACAAUGGAUGAGAAUCUCCAUCCUCCAAAGAUGAAAAAGAGGAUAUUAUCAUUCUUUUUAAUCUUUGCCAUCUGGAAGUUGCAUUCUGCUGAGCCCAGGAGUUAGAGAACAGACCACAGAGAUUUAAGUUCUCACUUGCGGGAAGUAGAUUUCAGUCCGCAUCCCAGCUCUGAAGCCCCAUUUCUCCUGGUGUAAAAUGAGCAGUCCCUUGCUACACCCUUCCACCAUGAUAUUUCUGCCUUGGAGCCAGCCUAC